rnacentral:rRNA from 1 species
GAAAGAUGAAAAGAACUUUGAAAAGAGAGUUAAACAGUACGUGAAAUUGUUGAAAGGGAAACGAUUGAAGCCAGUCGUACCUUCGGGUAAUCAGCCUUUCGGGUGCGAUUCUGUGGAGUGUGAGGAGCUUAAACACCUUCAUGUUUUGCAUAUUCGUGCACUUUGGGUGUACUUGCCCGUAUGGUUGGUUAACAUCAAUUUUGGUGGUCAUAAAAUGACUGGAGGAAUGUAGCUUCGAUCUUGUAUUGAAGUGUUAUA